CGUUAUUACAGGCAUGUAAGCAAUUUGAGUUAAUUGUAUCCCAUUAGCAGUUAAUUGAGUAGCGUGGCUGGAGAACAACGCGUGGCUGGAGGAACAAUUGAAAAAUGGAUAAGAUAAUAAAACAAAAAAAUGAUCAAAUUAUGAAGCUGCAGGCCCAGUUAUUGGAACAACACAAAAUAUUAGAUAACAAAGCUAAGGAUCGUAGGCCGAACACCUAGGGGAAAAGAACAAAUUGGAACGGAACAGUUUCCAAACAGUGAAGGAGGUUUUUCAAAACUCAUCUCUAACUGAACGUGAGGAUGAGUUGGCAUUAGGCGAACACAGCCAGUUAUUCAGUCCACCACAUGACAGUGUGUUAAAUUUAAAUUCUGUUAGUGCUGCCCUAAAAGAAUCGUUAGUAAUAAGCUCAUGCAGUGAAGGAACUGAACAAUUGUGGGAACGUAUUUGGGCCGAAAAUGGGUGUGGUUCAGAAACCCAGAAAUGGCACAAGUUCAACAUGAAACAUG